rnacentral:tRNA from 1 species
GCCUGGGUGGCUCAGUCGGUUGAGCAUCCGACUUCGGCUCAGGUGGUGAUCUCACAGUUUGUGGGAUCGAACCCCACAUCAGGCU